AUAAUAGCUUAUUAUAAAUUGUUCGCUUUCACGGAAACGUGUUUGAAUAAUAACCCAUUGAAUUGCUGGAAAACCCUAAAGGCAACAAAACCACAGCAUAACGAUGAAACAAGCGUAGGUGCGAUGGUGGCGAAAGCAGAAAAAAUUCGUUGUAUAGCGCAAGGUUAAACCCUAAACGCUAAAUAGUGGGCAAUCAGCAGCCAAGACCCGAACAGGGUAAGGUUCAGAGACUAUCCCGUAAGGGAGUAGAGUUGCAAGCGAUUGGCGACUCGAAGUGGUGGGCAUCCGAAAGGAUGAAGAUAUAGUCCAUGCUCUUGCUGAAAAGCAGAG
rnacentral:ncRNA from 1 species